UACGGGGGGAGCAAGCGUUGUUCGGAUUUACUGGGCGUAAAGGGCGCGUAGGCGGCCUCCGCAAGUCGACUGUGAAAUCUCCGGGCUUAACCCGGAAAGGUCAGCCGAUACUGCGGGGCUAGAGUGCGGAAGGGGCAACUGGAAUUCUUGGUGUAGCGGUGAAAUGCGUAGAUAUCAAGAGGAACACCUGCGGCGAAGGCGGGUUGCUGGGCCGACACUGACGCUGAAGCGCGAAAGCUAGGGAAGCGAACGGG
rnacentral:rRNA from 1 species